rnacentral:misc_RNA from 1 species
UUUAACAAUCCAAUCACCACUUUUCAAUUCAAUAGGGAUUCUAGAAAGUUUUGCACCCUUUGGUCCUGAAACCUCUUCAAAAUCUGGGAUAUGCUUUGAACUUUCUAAAUGACUCCUGUAUUUUUUCUCACUUGCUGAUACCAACUCAGAAACGUCACUUUCAAAAGGCAUCAUAAUUUGCACAACAUCUCCAUCCAUGCCCCAUGAAUCAACCAUUGCACUUCCACCAAGCAAUAAUUGCACAUGCAGACGUCUAUUGGGCCUCUUCCAGGACCCUUCUGUUCCAGAAACUCUAACAGUAACAACUGAAGAUUGAAGUUCAGCGACGUAAUGCGUAAGCAGAUAUCCACCGUUGGUGAAUUCAUAUCCAUCACCA